CUAAAAGUGAUGUACAAUCCAAG
rnacentral:siRNA from 1 species